rnacentral:rRNA from 1 species
UCUGUGGCUGCAGUAUGCCGAUUGAAAUGCAAAUGCUGCCCCUUCAGAGAGACUUGAAAAGCAAAUGUUGCUCCUUCAGAGAGACAGAGAGGGACGCCAGCCGCAGCGUAGCAUUUCCAUUUCAACCGAAGUGCUCCUUCCUCUGUGGCUGCAGUAUGCCGAUUGAAAUGCAAAUGCUGCCCCUUCAGAGAGACAGAGAGGGACGCCAGCCGCAGCGAAGCAUUUCCAUUUCAACUGAAGUGCUGCUCCCUCUGUGGCUGCCCCCCCUCUAUCAUUAAUAUACGCAUAAUAAGACGCCGGCCGCAGCGCAGCAUUUCCAUUUCAACUAAAGUGCUGCUCCCGCUGUGGCUGGCCUCCCUCUAUGAAUAAUAUGCACAUAAUAAGAGAAGCCAACCGCAGAGGGAGCAGUAUGCUGGUUGACAUGCAAAUGCUGCUCCUUCUGCGGCUGGUCAUUGUCACUUUCUUUUCGUACUGUGGUAGCCGAGGGCUGUGGACAUGCAGGUUUCGCCCACGGAGCGGGUGCAGCGUUCCCGCGUGACGGGGGAGGGGUCCUUGUUCUAAAGCUGUGGCUAAGCAGGCGCUACUUGACCCUCCCAAGCGAAUUGUGAAUUCUCGCGUGGCAAUCGCUGCUGGGCAAGGAACGUGUUCGGACUUGCCUUGUUCAGUGAACAUCCAACUUAGAACUGGAGCGGACAAGGGGAAUCCGACUGUUUAAUUAAAACAAAGCAUUCUCGCGUGGCAAUCGCUUCUGGGCAAGGAAUGUUUUCGGACUUGCCUUGUUCAGUGAACAGCCAACUUAGAACUGGAGCGGACAAGGGGAAUCCGACUGUUGAAUUAAAACAAAGCAUUGCGAUGCCCUGAACAGGUGAUGACGCAAUGUGAUUUCUGCCCAGUGCUCUGAAUGUCGGAGUGAUGAAAUUUAAACAAGCGCGGGCAAAUGGCGGGAGUAACUAUGACUCUCUUAAGGUAGCCAAAUGCUUCGUCAUCUAAUCAGUGACGCGAAUGCAUGGAUUAGCGAGAUCCCCACGGUUCCUAUCGACUAUCUAGCGAAACCACAGCCAAGGAAACGGGCUUGGGGUAAUCAGCGGGGAAAGAAGACCCUGUUGAGCUUGACUCUAGUCUGACUCUGUGAAGUGACUUAGGAGGUGUGGCAUAAGUGGGAAUUUCGGCGAUCUUGAAAUACCACUACUCUUGAUGUUGCUUUACUUAUGAUGCGGGGCUGAAACUGACACACCAGUGAGUUUUGGUUUGCAAGUUGUUGCAUUUGCGGCUGAUCAGUGCGGAGGACAUAGUCAGGUGGGGAGUUUGGCGGGGGCGGCACAUCUGCGAAAUGAUAACGCAGGUGUCCUAAGGUGAGCUCAAUGGGAACAGAAAUCUUAUGUGGACCAAAAGGGGAAAAGCUUGCUUGAUUCUGAUUUGCAGUUCAAAUACAAACUUUGACAACAUUGCCGAUCGAUCCUUUAGGUCUGAGACGUGUCCAGCUAGAGGCGUCAGAAAAGUUACCACAGGGAUACCUAGCUUGUGGCUGCCACACGUUCAUAGCGACAUUGCUUUUUGAUCCUUCGAUGUCGGCGCUUCCUAUCAUUGAGUCGCAGGAGUCCCAAAGUGUCGGAUUGCUCGCCCUCCAAUAGGGAACGUGAGCUGGGUUUAGACCGUCGUGAGACAGGUUAGUUUUACC